ACGUAGGGGGCAAGCGUUGUCCGGAAUGAUUGGGCGUAAAGGGCGCGUAGGCGGCCUGGUAAGUCUGGAGUGAAAGUCCUGCUUUUAAGGUGGGAAUUGCUUUGGAUACUGUCGGGCUUGAGUGCAGGAGAGGUAAGUGGAAUUCCCGGUGUAGCGGUGAAAGGCGUAGAGAUCGGGAGGAGGAGCAGUGGUGUAGGGGAACUACUGGAUUGUAACUGAUUCUGAUGCGCGGGAGUGUCGGCAGCAAACAU
rnacentral:rRNA from 1 species